rnacentral:rRNA from 1 species
UACGAAGGGUGCAAACGUUGCUCGGAAUCAUUGGGCGUAAAGCGCACGUAGGCGGCUCCGCAAGUCGGAUGUGAGAUCCCUCGGCUCAACCGAGGACGUGCAUCCGAAACUGCGGAGCUUGAGUACUGAAGAGGAUCGCGGAAUUCCCGGUGUAGAGGUGAAAUUCGUAGAUAUCGGGAGGAACACCAGUGGCGAAGGCGGCGAUCUGGGCAGUUACUGACGCUGAGGUGCGAAAGCGUGGGGAGCAAACAGG